GGAUCGGCAAAAGUCGAAAAGCCAAAAUGUCAAAAAUUGGUAUUUUGUAGAUUUGCGAGUGUGCGAAUGCUCGUGAGGUAAAUCGAUUAAUGUUUUUAGUAAGCUGCAAAAUUUGGACUGCAAAGUGCAUGAUUUCUGUGCCAUCGAUAUUUUUGGGCUUAAUAGGCCAAAAUUGGAAUGAUGGGCCAACAGGCCCAAGAACACUUGGUACGUGAUUCUGUUAGUACGUG
rnacentral:lncRNA from 1 species